CCCUUAGAUGUUCUGGGCUGCACGCGCGCUACACUGACGCACGCAACAGGUGCCUGCUCCGAGAGGACUGGGUAAUCAUUUGAGUGUGCGUCGUGAUGGGGAUAGAAUAUUGUAAUUAUUACUCUUCAGCGAGGAAUUCCUAGUAAGCGCCAGUCAGCAGCUUGCGCUGAUUACGUCCCUGCCCUUUGUACACACCGCCCGUCGCUCCUACCGAUGGGUGAUCCGGUGAAUGAUUCGGACUUCAGCGGCUCCCCUGGGGUGCGCCGGAGAAAGUUUUGUGAACCUUAUCACUUGGAGGAAGGAGAAGUCGUAACA
rnacentral:rRNA from 1 species